GGUCCCCCCUCAUUAUUUUUAUGGCCCCCACCCACCGCACAGGGGUGGGGGCCUGGGGGGGAGGACAGUAGGUCCCCCCUCAUUAUUUUUAUGGCCCCCACCCACCGCUCAGGGGUGGGGGCCAGGGGGGGACAGU